rnacentral:rRNA from 1 species
GACCUCGGAUCAGUAGAUCC